rnacentral:rRNA from 1 species
UACACUGGGGGAUAACAGUUAGAAAUGACUGCUAAUACCGCAUAAGCGCACAGGGCCGCAUGGUCUGGUGUGAAAAACUCCGGUGGUGUAAGAUGGACCCGCGUCUGAUUAGGUAUUUGUUGGGGUAACGGCCCACCAAGCCGACGAUCAGUAGCCGACCUGAGAGGGUGACCGGCCACAUUGGGACUGAGACACGGCCCAAACUCCUACGGGAGGCAGCAGUGGGGAAUAUUGGACAAUGGGCGAAAGCCUGAUCCAGCGACGCCGCGUGAGUGAAGAAGUAUUUCGGUAUGUAAAGCUCUAUCAGCAGGGAAGAAAAUGACGGUACCUGACUAAGAAGCCCCGGCUAACUACGUGCCAGCAGCCGCGGUAAUACGUAGGGGGCAAGCGUUAUCCGGAUUUACUGGGUGUAAAGGGAGCGUAGACGGUUAAGCAAGUCUGAAGUGAAAGCCCGGGGCUCAACCCCGGUACUGCUUUGGAAACUGUUUGACUUGAGUGCAGGAGAGGUAAGUGGAAUUCCUAGUGUAGCGGUGAAAUGCGUAGAUAUUAGGAGGAACACCAGUGGCGAAGGCGGCUUACUGGA